rnacentral:rRNA from 1 species
AUUGAACGCUGGCGGAAUGCUUUACACAUGCAAGUCGAACGGCAGCACGGACUUCGGUCUGGUGGCGAGUGGCGAACGGGUGAGUAAUGUAUCGGAACGUGCCCAGUCGUGGGGGAUAACGUAGUGAAAAUUACGCUAAUACCGCAUACGAUCUAUGGAUGAAAGCGGGGGAGCGCAAGGCCUCGCGCGAUUGGAGCGGCCGAUAUCAGAUUAGGUAGUUGGUGGGGUAAAGGCCCACCAAGCCAACGAUCUGUAGCUGGUCUGAGAGGACGACCAGCCACACUGGAACUGAGACACGGUCCAGACUCCUACGGGAGGCAGCAGUGGGGAAUUUUGGACAAUGGGCGAAAGCCUGAUCCAGCCAUUCCGCAUGCAGGAUGAAGGCCCUCGGGUUGUAAACUGCUUUUGUACAGAACGAAAAGGUUUCUACUAAUACUAGGAGCUCAUGACGGUACUGUAAGAAUAAGCACCGGCUAACUACGUGCCAGCCGCCGCAGUAA